CCUACGGGUGGCAGCAGUGAGGAAUAUUGGUCAAUGGACGGAAGUCUGAACCAGCCAUGCCGCGUGCAGGAAGACGGCUCUAUGAGUUGUAAACUGCUUUUGUACAAGGGUAAACCUGAAUACGUGUAUUCAGCUGAAAGUACUGUACGAAUAAGGAUCGGCUAACUCCGUGCCAGCAGCCGCGGUAAUACGGAGGAUCCAAGCGUUAUCCGGAUUUAUUGGGUUUAAAGGGUGCGUAGGCGGAUUGAUAAGUUAGAGGGGAAAUGUCCGAGCUUAACUCGGGAACUGCCUCUAAUACUGUUGAUCUAGAGAGUAGGUGCGGUAGGCGGAAUGUAUGGUGUAGCAGUGAAAUGCUUAGAGAUCAUACAGAACACCGAUUGCGAAGGCAGCUUACCAAUCUAUAUCUGACGUUGAGGCACGAAAGCGUGGGGAGCAAACAGGAUUAGAUACCCUAGUAGUC
rnacentral:rRNA from 1 species